rnacentral:lncRNA from 1 species
UUUGAAAAACUGCAAAAAUAGAAAGACAGGGAACGAAAUAUUUGAAUGCAAAAAGACGUCCUUUAUUUAUGAUAAAAAAUGCAAGUGUCACAUAAAUGAGCCCUACAAUGAGUCAUUACGCCCUGGCGGAACGUAAGACUUGGAUAUGCAUGAAUAAACAAAGAAAAUUACUCCUCCAGACAAGUGGCUUGGACAAUCUCCUUAGAAGACCAAUUAUUGAGAACUUCACCCGGGAUCCUCGGACGCACCCAGUUAUUGAUGUCG